GAUGAACGCUGGCGGCGUGCCUAAUACAUGCAAGUCGAGCGAACGGACGAGAAGCUUGCUUCUCUGAUGUUAGCGGCGGACGGGUGAGUAACACGUGGAUAACCUACCUAUAAGACUGGGAUAACUUCGGGAAACCGGAGCUAAUACCGGAUAAUAUUUUGAACCGCAUGGUUCAAAAGUGAAAGACGGUCUUGCUGUCACUUAUAGAUGGAUCCGCGCUGCAUUAGCUAGUUGGUAAGGUAACGGCUUACCAAGGCAACGAUGCAUAGCCGACCUGAGAGGGUGAUCGGCCACACUGGAACUGAGACACGGUCCAGACUCCUACGGGAGGCAGCAGUAGGGAAUCUUCCGCAAUAGGCGAAAGCCUAACGGAGCAACGCCGCGUGAGUGAUGAAGGUCUUCGGAUCGUAAAACUCUGUUAUUAGGGAAGAACAUAUGUGUAAGUAACUGUGCACAUCUUGACGGUACCUAAUCAGAAAGCCACGGCUAACUACGUG
rnacentral:rRNA from 1 species